UACGUAGGGGGCUAGCGUUGUCCGGAAUCAUUGGGCGUAAAGAGCGCGUAGGCGGCCCGGUAAGUCUGCUGUAAAAGUCAAAGGCUUAACCUUUGAAAGUCAGUGGAUACUGCCGGGCUAGAGUCCGGAAGAGGCGAGUGGAACUCCUGGUGUAGCGGUGGAAUGCGCAGAUAUCAGGAAGAACACCAACGGCGAAGGCAGCUCGCUAGGACGGAGCUGACGCUGAGGCGCGAAAGCGUGGGGAGCAAACAGG
rnacentral:rRNA from 1 species